CUAAGUAUGAGAUUGUACCAUGUUCUUUGCCAAAGGAGCCAAUUCUCUUUUAUUGUCAAGAGAAGGGGCAUUGGAGACGAAGCUGCCCUAUCUACCUAAGAUCUAAAAGAUGGGAGAGUCUAGUGUUAUGACUCUUCUUCAGGUAUGAAAUCCACUAUCUAGCUCUUUUAAGUUCCUAUUCUACAUUCUUAAUUCAUGAUGUGAUUGUUGGAUAUAGUGUCUAAGCCCAUAACUAUAUUUGGUAUGUACUUGACCCGACCCGGUAUGGUCCAUUUGGGUUGCACUUCACCCAAACAAUUUAUGGAUAAUAUUUGAGAAUAGUACAAGUUAUGAUUUAUUAAUAUAUUAUAAGUUCUAAUAUAUUAAUAUAAGAUCAUAUUAUUUAAUUAGUAGUGAUCUAUAAUUAAUCUAGGAUUAAUUUAGUGAUCAAAGAUAUUACUAAUUAAAUAUGGGCUUCUAUAUUUAUAUAGUGUGGGCUUAUGCUUAUUUGGAAUGGGCUAGGCUUGCAUGGAAGAAGUCCAUGGAUACUCCAUGGAGCUUUAACCCAUGGAUCUCAUGGAAAUGAAGAGACAUGGGUAUUAGGGUUUACAUGGAUGUAACCCUAAUCCACCACACUAUAUAAAGGAGGCUUUGGUUCUUGAAAUCACACUAGUUGAGGUGAGUAAAGCAAGAGGGCUGAUUUCAAGAUAGUAGUGACUAUUCUCUCAAAGUUCCAAGUUUGUGGUGAUUUGUGAUUUCCAUUUGAGGCAUCCACACUAUUGGUGCUAGGCUCUAAAACUCCAAGGAAUCAACUACAACUACAAGGUAAGUAUUUCUACUAGCUUUAUUUGAUUCAUGUUCCCCAUGCCAUGCUAGUUAGGAUAUGAACCUUGGAAAAAUAAUUAUUUGCAUGUAUCUUAGACAAACAUAGAUCCAAGGUUUAUUAGGGUUGCAUGUACACUUAGGAAGUGUUAGAAUGCUCAAAACCCAUCAGUGGUAUCAGAGCCUAGGCUUGUUUGUUUGUUAUUUGUGCUUAAAAGUUGAAGAAAGUCGAAAAUUCUGCUGUCUGACUGAUGGACUCGGCGAGUCCAUGGGGAGGACUCGUCGAGUUCAUGUGUAUCUUCAACCUACUCGGCGAGUAGGUUUAUGCACUCGGCGAGUAGGGUCGACAGAGUGCAGAAUUUCGACUUGAGUUGCUGGAAAUGGAUUAGAAUCAUUACCCUAAAAUGUUUUGGUACUUGAAAACUUAUUUUAGAAGGUGUAAUGUCUUUUCUAACUCAUUUACAACAACUAGUUAUCAAAAUUACAAAGAUUAAAUGUGAUUUUGAUUCUUGAAAGUGUUCAUAUUCAUAUUCUUGUUCUUAUGAUGUUUAGAUGAUCAUAGGAAUUAUUUGUAACCUAUGUGGUAGAUUAAUUCAUGAUCAUAAUGUGUUUUAAUGGAGUCCAUAACUUGUCCUCAAGUUAUGGAAAACCAAAAGUCUCUUGGAUUAAAAACCAUUAAAAGAACACAAGAGUUAGGAAAAAUGAAAAGUCCUCAUUUUAUUACUCUAUUAAACUCAUAAGUUACAAGAAAUGAAAAGUUUUGAAAGUUUACAAAACUUGCCCUCAAGUUUUGGAACAAGUAAAGUUAAGUUAAAACUUUAGUUCCAACCCCUAGAAUUUUAAAAGUUAAAAUUCAACCCUUAUACUUAUAUUAUUAUGAUUUAAUAAUUAUAUAUAUAUGUAUAAGAACAAAGUCGUCUUACCGCUAGUACGCCUCAUUCACGAAGCCGGUCUAUAAGGUGGGUAUAAGGUUGUUGCCUAUAAAAUGGUGACUUAAUGGGUGUCCACUCUCACCCACCGCUUGCUUGAUCGGUGGAGGGUCGUUAGCCGAACGGGUAAGACAAGGACUUAUUAAUUCUCAUUCAAAGUAUGAUGAAUAUUAUAAAGUAACUAAAUGUUUUAUUAAAUUCCCAAUCUUAGUUACUUUAGGAAAAAUGUGAAUAAGGUGCUAUUCCAUGAAAUUACACUUUACACUUUGAUUAAGUCGUUGGUGGAGCGUGUGUGGUUAACCGGCACACUAACUUGGACUUAACAAGGUAGGUAAAGGGUGACUUAGGGUUUAUUAUAGUAUCGAUGGAGCGUGUGUGGUUAACCGGCACAUCGAUUGAGUGAUAAACUUUAAGGGUACCAAGUGAUUUGCAUGGUUACUUCACACCUCGUUUUGUGAUCCUCGGUAUCCCAGUCACAAAACUUGGAGGGCACACUCGAGAUUGAAACAUGCCUUUGAAAAGUUCAUUGAAUCUCAAAGAAUCUAGGAAUUUCUAAGAACCAUUCAAAAACCUAAUACUAAAAUAUUGCGGUUUUCGUGGUGGAAAUUGGUGAAUCGUCAUUCACCUACCUUUCAAAUAUGAUAUAGCUUAGAUUACGGCAUACCUCUUCUAAGUUAUAUUAUAUUGUGAUUGGAUCCUAGCCUUAAUAUUACAUUUGGGUGUUUUAUUAAGGACUCUCUUAUAUCUAAACUAAUCUUGUCCUCUUUCCUUCAGAUGUCUUUCAACAAUGCUUCUGGCUCUAAUCCUAAUGGCUCCUUUACCCUUAUGAACUUGUGUGGGAAAGUCACCUUUGAUGGAUCCAACUUCAAUGAGUGGAUCAGAAACAUCAGGAUGAUUACCCGCUACGAGGACAAAGAAUAUGUCCUUGACAAGGAGCUUAAGGAGAUUGAUGAGUCCACUGCAACUCCUCAGGAGAUCGCUGAAUUUCGGGCACAUGAAAGGGAUGCUACGAAAGUGGCUUGCAUCAUGAUGGCCACGAUGACAGCGGAACUCCAAAAGUCUUAUGAGGAUUUCUACCCUUAUGACAUGCACCAAGAUUUGAUGGAAAGAUACCAUCAAAGUGCAAGACAAGAGAGGUAUGAAAUCAUCUGCUCCAUGAUAACAACCAUGAUGAAGGACGGGGAAUCCGUCACGAGCCACAUGCAGAAAAUGCAAAGGUAUGUGGAUCGUUUGCUGAAGCUUAAUGUGAACUUCCCGGAGGAUCUUGCAAUAGAUAUUAUUUUGCAUUCCUUACCAUCGUGCUAUGAUCAAUUCCGCAUGACAUAUCACAUGAACAAGGAAGAAGUCACCCUCAGCAAACUUCAGGGACUUCUCAAGACCGCAGAAACAGGUCUUAAGGGGAAGUCGGUUGCUAUCACUCCUACUCAAAACUCUACUCCGGUUUUGGCAAUCGGGAAAAGUCGAGGGAGGAAGAGAAAGAGCUCUUCUAAGGGUACCAAGGCUCGGACCCUUGAUGGCUCUUCUUCAAGUGGAACCAAGAAAGGUUUCGUUACUCCUUCUUCUGACCCAAAAGAGGCUGAAUGCUUCUAUUGCCAUGAAAAAGCUCAUUGGAAGCGGAACUGCCCAAAAUACCAGCAAGAUGUGAAGGAUGGGAAAGUUAAACCCAACCAUGCAGGUAUUUACACUAUCAUUUCUAAUAACUCACCCCAUUCUAAUUCUUGGGUCCUUGAUACCGGGUGUGGUAUUCACAUUUGUUGUGACUUGCAGGGACUAAGAAGAAGUGAGGAUGUGGAGCAAGGAAGGAUAAACUUGAUCAUGGGGAAUAGGAAAGCUAUACCUGUUACCAAGAUUGGAGUUUAUACUUUAUCGCUAAGUAGUGGGUUUAGUUUAGAUUUGAAUAAGUGUUGUUAUUCGCCAGGAAUGGCAAGAAAUAUUAUUUCCUUUCAUGCUUUGUACAAACAAGGGUUUACCUUUUCAUUUAAUAAUGAAGUUGGUUCUAUAGAUGUUUUCUAUAAUAAUGUCUUUUAUUUUAAAGCAUUACCUUGUGAUGGUGUGUAUGAAGCUGUAUCUGUUGUAGAUAACUUGGGAAAUAAUGUUUUGUGUAUUGAUUCUACUAAUAAUAACUUGGAUAAAGCAUCUUUAUGGCAUUGUCGUCUUGGACAUAUAAGCAAGAAACGCAUAGGCCAACUCCAAAAGGAUGGAGUCUUGGAGUCGUUUGACCUAAAGUCAGAUGAUAGUUGCGAAUCAUGCUUACUUGGAAAAAUGACAAAGUCACCCUUCACAGGUUCGUGUGAGAGGGGUGAAGGUUUGUUGGACCUUAUACACACGGAUGUGUGUGGACCAUUCAAACAUGCCACAAGGGAUGCUAAUCGUUAUUAUUUGACUUUUACUGAUGAUUAUAGUAGAUAUGGAUAUGUCUACUUGAUCAAGCAUAAGUCAGAGACUUUCGAGAGGUUUAAGGAAUUUAAACAGGAAGUCGAGAAUCAAUUGGGCAGGAACAUUAAGAUGCUUCGAUCCGAUCGUGGUGGUGAGUAUCUUAGUUCAGAGUUCCUCGACUAUCUAAGGGAAUGUGGGAUAGUCUCACAAUUGACACCUCCCAGGACACCACAGUUGAAUGGUGUGGCUGAGAGGCGUAAUCGAACCUUGUUAGAUAUGGUUCGUUCCAUGAUGAGUCGAGCUACGCUACCAAUCUCAUUCUGGGGGUAUGCCUUAGAGACUGCCGCCCAUAUUCUUAAUCUAGUCCCUACAAAGAAAGUUGCCAAAACUCCUCACGAGAUGUGGACUGGUAAAGUACCUAAACUAGACCACAUCAAGAUUUGGGGUUGCGAGGCUUUCGUGAGACGCGAGACUCAUGAUAAGCUCGAACCUCGAAGCGAGAGGUGUAUUUUCAUCGGUUACCCACAGCGAUCCUUUGGUUACCUCUUCUACAGACCUAGUGACAAUGUGGUCUUUGUAGCAAGAAGAGGAGUCUUUCGAGAAAGAGAGUUUAUAAGCCAAGGAGACAGUGGGAGGCAAAUUGAUCUUGAAGAAAUUCAAGAAUCAAGCGGUGAAGGAACUUCAAACUCUAGCCCUCAACUUGAGGAGGAAACUCCUGUUGAGCCAAUUGACAAAUCUGUACCUCUGAGACGUUCCACGAGAGUUAGGAGUGCACCUGAGCAUUACUAUGGAUUCCAUAUUACUGCAGAAGGUGAGACACUUAUUAGUGAUGAGACACUAGUAAGUCAAGAUGACCCUAACAGCUACGAGGAAGCCAUGGCAGGCCCCGAGUCUGCUAAAUGGAAAGAGGCUAUGGAUAGCGAGAUACAAUCCAUGUAUGACAAUCAAGUUUGGAACUUGGUUGAAAAUGUACCAGGUCGUAAGACAGUAGGGUGCAAAUGGGUCUUCAAGAAGAAGACCGACAUGGAUGGUAAAGUACACACUUAUAAGGCUAGACUGGUUGCAAAGGGCUUCUCUCAAAUUCCUGGAGUGGAUUAUGAUGAGACCUUUUCUCCGGUAGCCAAGAUUAAGUCUAUUCGGGUUCUGUUAGCCAUAGCUGCAUUUCAUGACUAUGAAAUAUGGCAGAUGGAUGUCAAAACCGCUUUCCUUAAUGGAAAGUUGGCUGAAGAUGUUUACAUGAGUCAGCCAGAGGGUUUUGUCAGCAACGAGUACCCUAAUAGAGUGUGUAAGCUUGAGAAAUCCAUUUAUGGAUUGAAGCAAGCACCUCGCAGAUGGAAUCUUUGCUUUGAUGAAAAGGUCAAGGAAUUUGGCUUUUCUAGGAGUGAAGAUGAAUCUUGUGUGUAUGUCAAGGCUAGUGGGAGUAUAGUUAGCUUUUUGGUAUUGUAUGUGGAUGACAUACUACUCAUAGGAAACGACAUUCCAACCCUGCAGGAAGUAAAGUCCUGGCUUGGGAAGUGUUUCGCUAUGAAGGACCUUGGUGAAGCUGCCUAUAUUCUAGGGAUAAGAAUCUUGAGAGAUCGGAGUAAAAGACUAAUUGGACUUAGUCAGAGUACCUACUUGGAUAAGGUGCUGAAGAGAUUCAGCAUGCAGGAUUCCAAGAAAGGAGAGUUACCCAUCCAGAGUAACACCAGAUUGAGUAAGACACAAAGCCCUAGCACUGAGGCUGAGAUAGCAGAAAUGAGUCGAACACCUUACGCUUCGGCUGUAGGAUCGAUCAUGUAUGCUAUGACGUGUACUCGACCCGAUGUAGCUUUUGCCUUGAGCAUGGUUAGCAGGUAUCAGGCGAACCCUGGCAAGGCACACUGGACUGCGGUAAAGAAUAUCCUCAAGUACCUACGGAGGACUAAGGACUGGGUCCUUACCCUCGGUGGGAGUGAUGACUUGAGAGUUGUAGGGUAUAGUGAUGCUAGCUUCCAGACUGAUAGGGAUAAUUUCCGCUCUCAGUCGGGCUGGGUCUUUACCCUAAACGGAGGAGCAAUUUCUUGGAAGAGUUCCAAGCAAGAGACAGUGGCAGAUUCUACUUGUGAAUCAGAGUAUAUUGCAGCUAGUGAAGCAGCAAAGGAAGCGAUAUGGCUGAAGAACUUCAUUGGAGACCUUGGAGUUGUACCAGCUAUUAAAGAGCCAAUGGAAAUUUUCUGUGAUAGUGAAAGUGCUGUUGCCUUAGCCAAGGAACCAAGGGAUCAUGGGAGAUCCAGACACAUCGACAGAAAAUACCAUUUCAUUAGACAUCGGAUCGAAGAAGGACUCCUCGUGGCAAAGAGGGUAUCAUCGGAUGAGAACCCAGCAGAUCCCCUCACGAAGGGACUGAGUAGGGUUAAGCAUCUCCAGCAUGCUCGGAGCAUAGGGCUGAAGGAUGAUAUAAGUUUUAGUAGUUAGAUAACCCAGAAAUUUGUAAAGUGUAAUUGACAUUUGAUGAUGAAUAAAAGGUGUUUUAUUUAUGAGUAAAGUGUUGCUAUCUCUUGUCGAUCGUUUACUAUAUUUCUUUUGCAUGUUUUGACUUCCAGAAUAAUUUUGUUUGGUAUAACAUAUUAUUCAAACCUCCACAGUCGGUCAUAUGUCGGAAGUAGGUAUGAAUCAAGACUGUCAUGAUGGGUUGCAGAGGUCUAAGGUGUUGGACAAGGCUACAACAAUCAUGAGUGCUCAUAAGUUCUGAGCAUUGGACUCAACCCACGCUCACUGGAAUCACUUCAUGGAAUUUUAUCUCGAGUGAUCGUGAGACGGUAAUAUCAUAUAAGUCUUCAAACCUAGAGAUAUGAUUUGUUACUUACGAGUUGGUUAUGCAUUGAUUGUACGAAAACGCAUUGGUAACUCGAUGUUAUAAAACGUGCUUUUGUGUGUAAUUCAAUGAGUGGUAGAACAAACAUAUGAGUCGAAGUUUAUCUGUUCCUUCUUGGAUUAGAAGCUGAUAUCUGGGCCCCUCGAUGAUUUUGUUUUGACCUAUGUACCGGGCCCGGUCAGAACUAAAUUGAUGUGUUCAGUUGAGUUCUAUGUCAAACAAAUCGGAAAUCGGGAAACAAAUGCUGGACAAUAAGCAAGACAAUGUUCCAUGUAUUUGUCCGGCUGAUAUCUAGAACAGAGGAUUAUAUGAUCACUUAUCUAAAUGGCGCGUUCUAGUUCAACAGAGUUUAAAGAGCUACGAUUGCUGAUCGGUUCCUGAAGUUAUACUUGCAAAUAUAGUUACUAGACUUAUCCAAGUGGGAGACUGUUGGAUAUAGUGUCUAAGUCCAUAACUAUAUUUGGUAUGUACUUGACCCGACCCGGCAUGGUCCAUUUGGGUUGCACUUCACCCGAACAAUUUAUGGAUAAUAUUUGAGAAUAGUACAAGUUAUGAUUUAUUAAUAUAUUAUAAGUUCUAAUAUAUUAAUAUAAGAUCAUAUUAUUUAAUUAGUAGUGAUCUAUAAUUAAUCUAGGAUUAAUUUAGUGAUCAAAGAUAUUACUAAUUAAAUAUGGGCUUCUAUAUUUAUAUAGUGUGGGCUUAUGCUUAUUUGGAAUGGGCUAGGCUUGGUGGGAGAAGUCCAUGGAUACUCCAUGGAGCUUUAACCCAUGGAUCUCAUGGAAAUGAAGAGACAUGGGUAUUAGGGUUUACAUGGAUGUAACCCUAAUCCAUCACACUAUAUAAAGGAGGCUUUGGUUCUUGAAAUCACACUAGUUGACACUUGUUGAGAAGAGGGCCGAUUUCAAGAUAGUAGUGACUAUUCUCUCAAAGUUCCAAGUUUGUGGUGAUUUGUGAUUUCCAUUUGAGGCAUCCACACUAUUGGUGCUAGGCUCUAAAACUCCAAGGAAUCAACUACAACUACAAGGUAAGUAUUUCUACUAGCUUUAUUUGAUUCAUGUUUCCCAUGCCAUGCUAGUUAGGAUAUGAAUCUUGGAAAAAUAAUUAUUUGCAUGUAUCUUAGACAAAAAUAGAUCCAAGGUUUAUUAGGGUUGCAUGUACACUUAGGAAGUGUUAGAAUGCUCAAAACCCAUCAGUGAUAAUAUUACAUUUU
rnacentral:lncRNA from 1 species